rnacentral:misc_RNA from 1 species
AGAGUUUGUAACACCCAAAGUCGGUGGGGUAACCUUUUAGGAACCAGCCGCCUAAGGUGGGACAGAUGAUUAGGGUGAAGUCGUAACAAGGUAGCCGUAGGAGAACCUGCGGCUGGAUCACCUCCUUUCUAAGGAAUAUUACGGAAACCUACACACGCGUCGAAACUUUGUUUAGUUUUGAGAGAUUUAACUCUCAAAACUUGUUCUUUGAAAACUAGAUAAUAUCAAAUAUAUUUUUUUCAUAAUGAAACCGAGAACACCGCGUUUUUUGAGUUUUUUAUUGAAGUUUAAUUAUCGCUAAACUCAUUAAUCCCAUUUACCGUUAGGUAAAUGAGGUUAAGUUAACAAGGGCGCAUGGUGAAUGCCUUGGCACUAGGAGCCGAUGAAGGACGGGACUAACACCGAUAUGCUUCGGGGAACUGUACGUAAGCUAUGAUCCGGAAAUUUCCGAAUGGGGCAACCCAGCAGUUUUAAUCAACUGGUUACCACUAGAUGAAUUCAUAGUCUAGUUGGAGGUAAACGCUGUGAACUGAAACAUCUCAUUAACAGCAGGAAUAUAAAGAAAUUUCGAUUCCCUAAGUAGCGGCGAACGAACGGGGAACAGCCCAAACCAAAGUGCUUGCACUUUGGGGUUGUAGGACUGAACAUUUGAGUUACCAAAGAACUUGAUAGUCCAAGGAUUUGGGAAAAUCCGCCAUAGAUGGUGAUAGCCCAGUAGAUUAAAUCAAAUUCUCUCAGUUCAGGAUCCUGAGUACGGCGGAACACGUGAAAUUCCGUCGGAAUCCGGGGGAACCAUCUCCCAAAGCUAAAUACUACCUAGUGACCAAUAAUUAACCAGUACCCUGAAAAAAAAGCCAA